UAAUCCCGUCUCUUUCCCAUUUCUCUCUUUUCCUCUCACCGUUUCUCUCCCCCCCCCCCCCCUCUCUGUCUAACCCUAAUAACUCCGGCGACGUCACCAUCAUUCCUGCUAGUCAUCGCCGCCGCCGUUCCUACCCAGCUGAAAAAAGCUUGUUUCAGAUAUGACAUUGAAAAAAGAGUUUGCCUAAUUGACUACUUCUUCCGAAUCUCUCCCCCAUUUUGUAAGCUCUCACACUUUCUUCACUUCAUUUUCCCCAUAUCUCACGCCCUUCUCUUCUUCCAAUGCUCUCCACCUUCAUUUUCCAUCUUCUGGGUAAGCCCUAACUUCUCCUUUGAUUCACUAAUUUCUUUACCAGACUUUCUUGAAUCCUUCUAAGAAGAACAGGGUUUUGCACCAUUCUCAAAUGAUUCAGUUUUUUAUUUGGAGUACCUUUUUCUUAUAAAUAAGCUAAUAGUGGAUUGCAAAUGAGAGGUGGUUUGUUAAAUUCCUGACUGCCUGCAGUUGUUUUGGAUAUUUCCACAUAUCUCAACAACUUUAGAUGGAGAUACAAAGUUGUUCUCCUCAUUAGCAAGACCUGCAGGAGCUGGGGAAUAAUUUCCUUAACUAUAGCUUAUUUUUGGCAACUCUAUACUUUAUGGAUCCUUGUUCAGCUGCAUGAAGCAGUUCCUGGGAAGAGAUACAAUAGAUAUGUGGAACUUGCACAAGCAGCUUUUGGUGAAAGACUUGGGGUUUGGCUUGCUCUCUUCCCUACUGUUUACCUAUCUGUAGGGACUGCGACAGCUUUGAUUCUCGUAGGAGGUGGAACCAUGAAGAUGUUCUUUCAAAUUGUUUGUGGUCCGCUCUGUUCAUCGAAUCCUUCAAGUCUUAUCAGUCUAAUGAGUUCUGUUGCAGGCAUUGUUUUAUAGAUAAAUGCAAUUGCAGUGAUCCAUAAAUUUGGUCACAUUGUAUUGACUGAUAUAGAAGAACUGUAAUGUCUAUGUCUUAUUUCUCCUUAUUGUUGAUAGCAAGUGCAACUGUGGCCUUAUAUUAGUUUCUGCGCAACUGUUGGAACCAUUUCUUGUUAUGGAAAUAUCUCUGAAAAGAAGAGAAUAUAAUUCUUGUUUUA